rnacentral:pre_miRNA from 1 species
AGCUCCUUGUUGGAGAAGCAGGGCACGUGCAAACGUAAUAUACCACUUUGCAGUUGCACGUGCUCCCCUUCUCCACCAUGGGCUC